UACAGAGGGGGCAAGCGUUAUUCGGAAUUAUUGGGCGUAAAGGGCGCGUAGGCGGCUUGGCAAGUGGAAGGUGAAAUCCCUCGGCUUAACCGAGGAACUGCCUUCCAGACUGCUUUGCUUGAGGCCGGGAGAGGCGAGUGGAAUUCCCAGUGUAGCGGUGAAAUGCGUAGAUAUUGGGAGGAACACCGGUGGCGAAGGCGGCAUCCUGGACCGGUAUUGACGCUGAGGCGCGAAAGCUAGGGGAGCAAACGGG
rnacentral:rRNA from 1 species